GGCUGUGAAGGCCGUCUGGCUGUGGCAUCUGUCACCUUGGUUCCCAGGGUUGAUGUGGGUAAUGUGGCUAAGCAGGGUUCUCCUUCCUCCUCACAACCCCACAUGUGUUCCCCUCGAAACCGCCACGUGGUUGAGGAGGCUUCCCUCCUAGAACCUCCAAGCAAGCUCUUUAAACAAACACACAGCUGGGCAGACAGCUCAGUCCGGAAGUGUUUGUCUUG
rnacentral:snRNA from 1 species